UGCAAGUCGAGCGGUAAGGCCCUUCGGGGUACACGAGCGGCGAACGGGUGAGUAACACGUGAGCAACCUGCCCCUGACUCUGGGAUAAGCGGUGGAAACGCCGUCUAAUACCGGAUACGACCUUCCGCCUCAUGGUGGAGGGUGGAAAGUUUUUUCGGUCAGGGAUGGGCUCGCGGCCUAUCAGCUUGUUGGUGGGGUAACGGCCUACCAAGGCGAUUACGGGUAGCCGGCCUGAGAGGGCGACCGGCCACACUGGGACUGAGACACGGCCCAGACUCCUGCGGGAGGCAGCAGUGGGGAAUAUUGCGCAAUGGGCGAAAGCCUGACGCAGCGACGCCGCGUGGGGGAUGACGGCCUUCGGGUUGUAAACCUCUUUUACCACCAACGCAGGCUCCGGGUUCUCUCGGGGUUGACGGUAGGUGGGGAAUAAGGACCGGCUAACUACGUGCCAGCAGCCGCGGUAAUACGUAGGGUCCGAGCGUUGUCCGGAAUUAUUGGGCGUAAAGAGCUCGUAGGCGGCGUGUCGCGUCUGCUGUGAAAGACCGGGGCUUAACUCCGGUUCUGCAGUGGAUACGGGCAUGCUAGAGGUAGGUAGGGGAGACUGGAAUUCCUGGUGUAGCGGUGAAAUGCGCAGAUAUCAGGAGGAACACCGGUGGCGAAGGCGGGUCUCUGGGCCUUACCUGACGCUGAGGAGCGAAAGCAUGGGGAGCGAACAGGAUUAGAUACCCUGGUAGUCCAUGCCGUAAACGUUGGGCGCUAGGUGUGGGGACUUUCCACGGUUUCCGCGCCGUAGCUAACGCAUUAAGCGCCCCGCCUGGGGAGUACGGCCGCAAGGCUAAAACUCAAAGGAAUUGACGGGGGCCCGCACAAGCGGCGGAGCAUGUUGCUUAAUUCGACGCAACGCGAAGAACCUUACCAAGGUUUGACAUCACCCGUGNACCUGUAGAGAUACAGGGUCAUUUAGUUGGUGGGUGACAGGUGGUGCAUGGCUGUC
rnacentral:rRNA from 1 species